rnacentral:rRNA from 1 species
AUUGAACGCUAGCGGGAUGCCUUACACAUGCAAGUCGAACGGAGUGGCGAACGGGUGAGUAAUGUAUCGGAACGUGCCCAGUAGCGGGGGAUAACUACGCGAAAGCGUAGCUAAUACCGCAUACUAUUGGAGCGGCCGAUAUGGGAUUAGCUAGUGGGUGGGGUAACGGAUCACCAAGGCGACGAUCCGUAGCUGGUUUGAGAGGACGACCAGCAAGACUGUGACUGAGAAAAGGCCCAGGCUUCUACGGGAGGCAGCAGUGGGGAAUUUUGGGCAAUGGGGGAAACCCUGAUCCAGCCAUCCCGCGUGUGCGAUGAAGGCCUUCGGGGUGUAAAGCUCUUUUGGCAGGAAAGCGGUACCUGCAGAAUAAGCACCGGCUAACUACGUGCCAGCAGCCGCGGUAAUUC